rnacentral:tRNA from 1 species
AGGUCAGUAGCUUAAGUGGAAGAGCAGCGGUCUCCAAAAUCGCAGGUUGUGGGUUCAAGUCCCUCCUGGCCUG